rnacentral:lncRNA from 1 species
UUUUUUAGGAAUUCUAAAACAAACUUAUUUAAUUGAUCAAUGACCUUGUUAACAAGAAAAUUAAAAACCACAUCUUGAAUUUUUUUUUUAAUUUGGACUCUUAAUGGAGAAAUAUGUAAAAAUAUCACCAUAAGUUGUUUUUGAAGCAUUUGCUAAAACUUUCUUUUUUGAUAAAAAAUAACAGCUCUAAGUGAUUACAUUAAAGAAUAUGUCUAAAUGAUUUUAAUGUCCAUAAUUUCUCAUAAUCAAUAUUUGCAUUUAAGCUGUAGGAGUCCUACAAACUUGCAUCAAAACUCAAAUUGUUGCAAGUUGCAAUAUUUAUUUGUCUAAGCAAAAUAUAAAAGUAAAUUAUAAAAAAUGUUAAUUCAUUUUUCCCAAAAAUUACUUUCUUAGAAGAAAUCUUUUUAAAAAUGCUUUUUUUUUUCCGCAAAAAUGAUUUUCAAAAGUAAACUUGAAAUCAUAAAAAAAAAACCAUCUAGUUCUGUUUUCUCCACCUAGUGUCACGGGCCAAAGUGCAAAGCCCGUGACCAUGCCGCAAGAAGCGCCCCAUGGAGGUCUAUCGAUUAGAUGGGGGACAUUCAGCCCACAAGAACUGGCCCGAUUCAGAGAGCUACUAAAGAAGCCUAUCAGAUUGAAGCCUGGUUGGCCCAAUGAUGAAGACAUGGCAACUUAGGCAAUUUUGGUAACUAAUCUUAGAAGAUAGAAUAGAAUCAUAUCUUGUAAGAUUAGAUUAGAUUUGAUAUGGUAAAUCUUGUAAAUCCCUAAAAUCAAGGGAUAUAGUGAAUCUCAUCUGUCGAUGUACAUGUAUCUUGACCGUCGAUUUUGGGGGAGCUCAACUAUAAAUAGAGAGCCUCCCCCUCAUUUGUAAAUCAUCCAUUGUAACUUGAAUUCUUAAGAGUAAUAGAAUUCUUGAGCAUUUACUCAAACACUUUGUGUGCUUUCUUUCUUUAGCUUUCUGUUGUUCUCUUGGGGCUUCUUUUGGCACAAUCGCUUCCGCUAUAUAAAUUGGUGCCUUGGAGGAGUUCUAAAAGAAUCCUCUCUUUUGGGAGUUAAGGCUGACUUGGGCGAGUUUGGACGAACAGAUCGCCUAAGGCCGCAUGGAUUGCGAGACGAAAGGUCUAGCCCCGUGACAAGUGGUAUCCGAGCUAAGUUUUGAACCAAGUUAUUCGAGUGGUUCGAAGGCACUGUUGGGAUGUCGAAAGAAGUCGUUGGUCAGAGUGAGCCAAUGGAGACCCGUGGGAGGGCUAGAAAAUCCAGUCGCUCGAGGGAAAUGCUGACAGCUUUGGAAAAUCGAGUGGUCAAUCUCGAAGAAUCCGUAGGGAACGUGAAAGAGACGCUUGAAUUGGUCGAGGGACGCACAGAUGGGUUAGACUCAAUGGAGGAGCAACUCAGAGAUUUUGUGUUGGAUUCUCUCGGUGCAAAUAGGGAAAAGAUAACGGAAUUACUCGAGUCCACUGAGGUAAAGCUGGCAGAGAGGGAUGAAGCUCUCGAGGAUAUGGUGCUAGCCAUGCAGAAAGAAAUGGAGGAGCUCAAAGGGGAGCUCGCGAUUUACAAAGCCGCUUUGAGUAAUGGGAUGUUGUCUUCAAGGCCGAAGCAACAUGCAAUGGAUGUUCCCAAACCGGAGAAGUUUAAGGGUGCACGAUCCGCAAGGGAUGUGGACAACUUCUUGUGGGAAGAGCAAUACUUCCGAGCGAUGGGCAUCGAGGAUGAUGCCAUUAAGGUAAACACUGCUUCGAUUUACUUUUUUGAUGUUGCUCUCUUGUGGUGGCGACGUAAGUCCACGGAUGAGAAACGUGGAGGAACGACUAUUGGAACUUGGGAGGAGUUUCAAGGAGAGUUGAAGAAGCAGUUUUACCCUCAGUUUGCCGAGAAGGAGGCUCGAGCAAAGUUGCGUCGUCUCACGCAACAAGACACUGUUCGGGAGUAUGUGCGGGCAUUUAGCGAGUUGAUGCUUCAAAUCUCUGAUUUGAGUGAGAAAGAAGCAUUCUAUUGGUUCGAGGAUGGGUUAAAGCCGUGGGCAAAGCAAGAGUUGCGAAGGCAAGGAAUCACCGAACUUACUGUAGCCAUGGUCGAAGUAGAGUCCUUUGUUGAGCUUGAUCCGACGGGAGACAAGCUUGAGGCAUCUAAGCCCAAUGGAAGGGGCAAUGGUGAGAGAAACCAUGAAGAAGAUGAAAGGGGACAUAGCGAUGGGGGCAACAGUACUGAUAGCACAAGUGGCAAUGGGAAACCACGAGAUGCGAAGCGGGGAUUAGACAACCCAAGGGACAAGAGGAAGAAGAUGAAAUGCUUCCUUUGUCAAGGACCACACAUGGCGCGUAAAUGUCCAAAUAAAGUGAUGAUUUUGGCAAAGAAAGAUGAGCCGAAGGAGGAGGUGAAGCCUACCGAGGGAAACACAUCGAAAGUCAAUUCGAUGGUGCUCAUUCCUGGGAAGAGGAAUGAAAAUGGGUUGAUAUUUGUAGACAUCAACAUUGCGGGUCAGAAGCGGACUGCUCUUAUUGAUACGGGAGCAUCGGACUUGUUCAUGUCGGAAAAGGCUGCGAAGAAACUUGGUCUGUUGAUUAGGAAAUCGAAUAAGAAGAUCAAGGUAGCAACUUCUGAGAAAGCCCCAACUGUGGGAGUAGUUCGUGAUGUGGAACUACAAAUCGACGAAUGGAAGAGAAAUGAAGAAUUUGAGGUAAUCCGAUUAGAUGAUUACGAUUUUGUGCUUGGCUUGAACUUCUUUGUCAGGAUUCAGGCAAUUCUGCAUCCAGGGGCCGAUCAAAUUCAUAUUGUCACCGGUCCGUCAACAAAAAGUGUUGUGCCGGUGCAUCGGGAUGUGAAGGUUGGGACUAAGGUGUUAUCGUCAAUCCAACUUGUCGAAGAUGUUUCGUAUGGGAGAAACAUUAAGUCGACAGAACGGAAUGCUACAAAAGCCCAUUCGGAAGUGUUAGUGGCGCAAGGGACCGAUAUGAAGCCUGCGGGAUCGACUGUGGAGCCAACACCUUUAGGGAAGGUGGGUUGUGCAUCGAGCUUCAAGGGAAAAGGAGCAAUGCAAAGACAGUCGAGACGAGUAAAUGCUACGAGUAAGGUACAUUGUAAACACUCUGAUAGUGUUUUGAAUUCUGACUUGUUGGCUUGGCAAGGUCGUAGGGGCCCUUUCAAAGUUCAUAAGCAAGGAGGCCAAGGAACUGUGGGUGGUACGAAGCCGAGGUAUGAGAAUCGAGGGGAUUCCAACAGAAACAAGUCAAAAUUGGGGCAAGUUAUAGCGGAGACUUCUUGCCAGCAAAAUGUACCAACGAGUGGAAUGGUUCAAGAUAAGAGGCGACGGAAGUCGAGGCAUAAGUUCCGAAGGAAGGGACAACCGGAUCGCACGACGAGUCGGGAAGAGGCUGAGGCAACGAGAGAGUUUCACAGUGAAUCAAGUCAGUGUCAUCCAGAAAACGCAACGAGGGCGUUGCGAGAUUGGGUGGGGGAGAAUGUCACGGGCCAAAGUGCAAAGCCCGUGACCAUGCCGCAAGAAGCGCCCCAUGGAGGUCUAUCGAUUAGAUGGGGGACAUUCAGCCCACAAGAACUGGC